rnacentral:rRNA from 1 species
AACUAUAACGGUCCUAAGGUAGCGAAAUUCCUUGUCAGGUAAGUUCUGACCCGCAUGAAAGGCGUAAUGAUUUGGGCACUGUCUCAACAGCCCGCCCGGCGAAAUUGUAGUACCGGUGAAGAUGCCGGUUACCCGCGACAAGACGGAAAGACCCCAUGGAGCUUUACUGUAGCCUAAUAUUGGGUUUCGAUGUUGCAUGCACAGGAUAGAUGGGACACUGGGAAACAAUCGCUUUGGCGGUUGCGGAGUGGCCGUUGGGAUACCAUCCUUGCGAUAUUGGAAUUCUAACCUGCGGCUCUGAAUCGAGUCGGGGGACAUUGUUAGGUGGGCAGUUUGACUGGGGCGGUCGCCUCCUAAAAAGUAACGGAGGCGUUCAAAGGUUCGCUCAGCUUGAACGGAAAUCAAGCAAAAGAGUGCAAACGCAGAAGCGAGCCUAACUGCGAGACUGACGGGUCGAGCAGUAACGAAAGUUGGAGUUAGUGAUCCGGUGGUAUGUGAGUGGAAAUGCCAUCGCUCAACGGAUAAAAGUUACCCUGGGGAUAACAGGCUGAUCUCCCCCAAGAGUCCACAUCGACGGGGAGGUUUGGCACCUCGAUGUCGGCUCAUCGCAUCCUGGGGCUGUAUUCGGUCCCAAGGGUUUGGCUGUUCGCCAAUUAAAGCGGUACGCGAGCUGGGUUCAGAACGUCGUGAGACAGUUCGGUCCCUAUCUGUCGUGGGCGCAGGAUAUUUGAUGGGAGCUGUCCCUAGUACGAGAGGACCGGGACGGACGUACCUCUGGCGCACCAGUUGUUCCGCCAGGAGCAUAGCUGGGCAACUACGUACGGAUCGGAUAAACGCUGAAAGCAUCUAAGCGUGAAGCCGACCCAAAGAUAAGAUAUCCCACUGAUUUAAUCAGGUAAGACCCCUUGAAGACUACAAGGUUGAUAGGCACGAUGUGUAAGUGGAGCGAUCCAUUCAGCAAGCGUGUACUAAUAGGUCGAGGGCUUGACCAC